rnacentral:rRNA from 1 species
AUUGAACGCUGGCGGCAGGCCUAACACAUGCAAGUCGCACGAGUGGCGGACGGGUGAGUAAUGUCUGGGAAACUGCCUGAUGGAGGGGGAUAACUACUGGAAACGGUAGCUAAUACCGCAUACCAUCGGAUGUUCACAGAUGGGAUUAGCUGGUAGGUGGGGUAAAGGCGCACCUAGGCGACGAUCCCUAGCUGGUCUGCGAGGAUGACCAGCCAAACUGGAACUGAUACACGGUGCAGACUCCUACGGUAGGCAGCAGUGGGGAAUAUGGCACAAUGGGCGCAAGCCUGAUGCAGCCAUGCAGCGUGUAUGAAGAAGGCCUGCGGGUUGUAAAGUACUUUCAGCGGGGAGGCGUUACCCGCAGAAGAAGCACCGGCUAACUCCGGGCCAGCCGCCGCGGUAAUAC